rnacentral:rRNA from 1 species
GCACAAGCGGUGGAGUAUGUGGUUUAAUUCGAUGCAACGCGAAGAACCUUACCUGGUCUUGACAUCCCGGAGACCCUUAGGAAACUAGGGGGUGCUUCCAUCUGAAAGAAUCUGGAGACAGGUGCUGCAUGGCUGUCGUCAGCUCGUGUCGUGAGAUGUUGGGUUAAGUCCCGCAACGAGCGCAACCCUUGCCUUUAGUUGCCAGCAGUUCGGCUGGGCACUCUAAAGGGACUGCCGGUGUUAAACCGGAGGAAGGUGGGGAUGACGUCAAGUCCUCAUGGCCUUUAUGACCAGGGCUACACACGUACUACAAUGGCCGAUACAAAGGGCAGCGACACUGCGAGGUGAAGCCAAUCCCGUAAAAUCGGUCUCAGUCCGGAUUGGAGUCUGCAACUCGACUCCAUGAAGUUGGAAUCGCUAGUAAUCGUGGAUCAGCAUGCCACGGUGAAUACGUUCCCGGGCCUU